GCAUAUCAAUAAGCGGAGGAAAAGAAACCAACAGGGAUUGCCUUAGUAGCGGCGAGUGAAGCGGCAAAAGCUCAAAUUUGAAAUCUGGCACUUUCAGUGUCCGAGUUGUAAUUUGAAGAAGGUAUCUUUGGGUCUGGCUCUUGUCUAUGUUUCUUGGAACAGAACGUCACAGAGGGUGAGAAUCCCGUGCGAUGAGAUGACCCAGACCUAUGUAAAGUUCCUUCGAAGAGUCGAGUUGUUUGGGAAUGCAGCUCUAAGUGGGUGGUAAAUUCCAUCUAAAGCUAAAUAUUGGCGAGAGACCGAUAGCGAACAAGUACAGUGAUGGAAAGAUGAAAAGAACUUUGAAAAGAGAGUGAAAAAGUACGUGAAAUUGUUGAAAGGGAAGGGCUUGAGAUCAGACUUGGUAUUUUGUAUGUUACUCUCUCGGGGGUGGCCUCUACAGUUUACCGGGCCAGCAUCAGUUUGGGCGGUAGGAGAAUUGCAAAGAAAUGUGGCACUGCCUCGGUAGUGUGUUAUAGUCUUUGUCGAUACUACCAGCCUAGACUGAGGACUGCGGCUUCGGCCUAGGAUGUUGGCAUAAUGAUCUUAAGUCGCCCGUCUUGAAACACGGACC
rnacentral:rRNA from 1 species